rnacentral:rRNA from 1 species
UAACGAAGGGGGCUAGCGUUGCUCGGAAUGACUGGGCGUAAAGGGCGCGUAGGCGGCUCAUACAGUCAGAUGUGAAAUUCCUGGGCUUAACCUGGGGGCUGCAUUUGAUACGUGUGGGCUUGAGUGGGGAAGAGGGUCGUGGAAUUCCCAGUGUAGAGGUGAAAUUCGUAGAUAUUGGGAAGAACACCGGUGGCGAAGGCGGCGACCUGGUCCUUGACUGACGCUGAGGCGCGAAAGCGUGGGGAGCAAACAGG